CCUACGGGUGGCAGCAGUGAGGAAUAUUGGUCAAUGGGCGGAAGCCUGAACCAGCCAAGUAGCGUGCAGGAUGACGGCCCUACGGGUUGUAAACUGCUUUUAUACGGGAAUAACGCGCCUUACGUGUAGGGCUUCGCAUGUACCGUAUGAAUAAGGCACGGCCAAUUCCGUUCCCGCCGCCGCGGUAAUACGGAGGGUGCCAGCGUUUAUCGGAAUAACUGGGGGUAAAGAGCGCGUUGGGGGGAUAGCAAGUCAGAUGUGAAAACCGAUGGCUUAACCAUAGAUCUGCAUUUGAAACUGUUGUUCUUGAGUGUGGGAGAAGUAGGUGGAAUUCGUGGUGUAGGGGUGAAAUCCGUAGAGAUCAAGAAGAAUACUCAUUGCGAAGGCGACCUGCUAGAGCAUAACUGACGCUGAUGCGCGAAAGCGUGGGGAGCGAACAGGAUUAGAUACCCCUGUAGUC
rnacentral:rRNA from 1 species